rnacentral:rRNA from 1 species
UNUGACUUGAGUGCAGAAGGGGAGAGUGGAAUUCCAUGUGUAGCGGUGAAAUGCGUAGAUAUAUGGAGGANCACCAGUGGCGAAAGCGGCUCUCUGGUCUGUCACUGACGCUGAGGCUCGAAAGCGUGGGUAGCGAACAGGAUUAGAUACCCUGGUAGUNCACGCCGUAAACGAUGAGUGCUAGGUGUUAGGCCCUUUCUGGGGCUUAGUGCCGGAGCUAACGCAAUAAGCACUCCGCCUGGGGAGUACGACCGCAAGGUUGAAACUCAAAGGAAUUGACGGGGGCCCGCACAAGCGGUGGAGCAUGUGGUUUAAUUCGAAGCAACGCGAAGAACCUUACCAGGUCUUGACAUCCCGAUGCUAUUCUUAGAGAUAGGAAGUUACUUCGGUACAUCGGAGACAGGUGGUGCAUGGUUGUCGUCAGCUCGUGUCGUGAGAUGUUGGGUUAAGUCCCGCAACGAGCGCAACCCUUAUUGUUAGUUGCCAUCAUUAAGUUGGGCACUCUAGCGAGACUGCCGGUAAUAAACCGGAGGAAGGUGGGGAUGACGUCAAAUCAUCAUGCCCCUUAUGACCUGGGCUACACACGUGCUACAAUGGUCGGUACAACGAGUUGCGAGCCGGUGACGGCAAGCUAAUCUCUGAAAGCCGAUCUCAGUUCGGAUUGGAGGCUGCAACCCGCCUCCAUGAAGUCGGAAUCGCUAGUAAUCGCGGAUCAGCACGCCGCGGUGAAUACGUUCCCGGGCCUUGUACACACCGCCCGUCACACCACGAGAGUUUGUAACACCCGAAGUCGGUGAGGUAACCUUUUAGGGGCCAGCCGCC